GCGACUCUGGGGUCUCAGCUGUCAAUGACGGGAGCCUGGGCAGCCCCGGGCGCUCACCUGCCGGGUCAGAGAUGGAGGGGACGCAGAGCGCUGCACGCUGCCACCCCAGCUGCACCCGGCCUGCUGAUGCCUGCCGCCCACAGCGGUUAAUCACGGCUGCCCUGAGCCGGGGGUCGGGGGCGCCACUCACUAAUUGGCCGGUGUGUGGCUGGGCAUCGAUCCGGCUGCCGAGUGGCGGCCCAUCCCCCAGGGGCCAGGCUGCGAACUGCCCGUGGCCUCCGGUGCCCGUCCCCACUCUCCAAGUCCCGCCCGCCCCCUGGAAUUGGGGCCUCCUCACUCACUGCCCGGCGCUUGGAAAUGACGCCGGUCCACAGAGAUCUGCUGGUGGCAUGGGGCACAGAGGUGGAGUGGGGGGCCGGCAGCAGGCGGCCCUGAGUCCCCGCGGGCGGGCGGCGGGGCCGUCGGGGCUCCCCCUCCGUCUGCCCGGCCCUGGAGGGCUGACCCCACUUCCCCCCUGGGCAGUGCGGCCUCUCCCGCAACUGCUCGGGGUGCUCGGCGGGGCCGUUUUCUUUCUUUUUUGCCUCCAGAGUGCGUGGCCCCAUGUCCCUCCACCCACAGGGUGGCCCCGGGCACACAGGCGGUCCCCCCACCUGCCCGGUGGCUCCGUGUCCUUCGAGCAGCAGCGGACAUGGUGGGAGGCUCGGGUCGGCGCUGCUGACCUGUGUCUGGGUGGACUGGGGCCCACUGCCCGCUGUGUGGGUCCCCAGGGCAAGGCGGGGCGGAGACGCUGUUUCCUGGCCUCCGCAAGCUGCCCCACCUGGCAGGGGUUCAGGGUGCAGGCCUUCCCUUCCUCAGCUCUCUGCGCCCCGGGGCGGCUGGGUCAGCCCGCCUCCCACUGCUGCCACCUUGAAGCUAGUGUCACGGGCGGAUCCCCAAUCCAACAGACACAGCUAGUUUCAGAACCUGGGAGGCUGACCUGCAGAGGGUGGAAAGGCAGCUGACAGCCCCUGGCAUUGGCCACCCAGCAGCCGUGACAGCUGGCGGAGGCUAGAGCUGGCCCGGCCAGUGGGUGGCGCAGCUGGGGGAGGGGGGCCCCUGAUCCAGGGCUGGGCUUGGUGUUGGCUUGGGUGACUCGGGGUUGCAGAAUUGCUGGUGUGUGGGCCAUGCGUGGUUGGUGAGUCCAUUUGGAGAAUCCGGUCACACCUCAGGGGCAACAGCCUUCAGGCGACCACCCGCUAGCCAGGCCCUGACGGGUGGGGGCUGGGAGCAGGGGCCGCCUGCCCCAGCGUUGCUCCCGGGGCUGGAUGGGCCUGGCUCUGUCUGGACCGGCGUCCCCAGCGGGGUUGUCUUGUACAGUUGUGCAGGUCGUGCACAAGCCUAGGAAGUCACCGAGUCAGCCGCCACGGCGCACCUUCUUGGGGCAGAGCCCUGUGCCAGCGUCUGUGGGCCUUGGGGUCCGGCCGCCCUGUCUCCCAGUCCCUGCUGAGCCCACACCUGGCUGGGGGGUCCUCGGGGCAGAGAGAAGGGCUCCCAGCCAAGUGCCCUGGUCCGUAGGCCACCUCCUCCCGUGGGGCAGGGGGGUCACUUUGCAGCAGGAGUGUGGUCGCUUGAAGAGAUGAGAGGACCAGGGUCUUGGUUCCCGGGACCAGGCAGGUUCUGCAGAGGACCCGAGGGAGGUAUGGAAGCCGUGGGGUCCCGCUUGCAGCGAGGGCGGUCUCCUGGCCCGGUUUCCAUGCCCCCCUGGUUCAGGCCCCUCUGAGGGGCACUUUACGGGACGGGGCGUCUCCUGGGCCAGGUCUGCCGCCUCCGGGUGCCCGAGCAGGGCUGCGGCUGAAGUGCUGCUGUGACAGAAUCAGGGGGACCCUCCUGGGCCCGCCCUAGACCCGGUGCCCGGAACUCUUCGUGGCUCACAGGUUUGGGGGGGUCUGUGUGUGAUGGGACACCAUGUGGGCAUCUGAGGGGCCUCUGACUGCUGACUGCAGCCCAGAACAGCGCGAGGUGUGGGUGUGUACCCAGCCGGGCUGCACGGAGCCUGGGCGGGCCUCUGGGGGUCCCCCAAACCUCCGACUCCAGCCCUCCAGGGGCCACGCUGCCAGGAUAGGCCUCAGGCUAGAGACCCGCCUGGGGGCGGGGGCAUCCGGGGCUGAGGACAGGGGCACUGGACACACUGCCGCCCCUUGAGGGAGCUGCUGCAGGUGGGCGCCUUCCUGUCAGGGCACCGAGCAGCCCCCCGGCCCCCCGCGCCCUGUGCUCUCCUCGCCUACUGCCUCUGCAGCGGCCGGAGACCAAACUGACCUGCAGGCCUGGAAGCCUCCGGCCGUGCCUGCUCCCCGUCCUCGCCACCCCUCUCGNNNNNNNNNNNNNNNNNNNNNNNNNNNNNNNNNNNNNNNNNNNNNNNNNNNNNNNNNNNNNNNNNNNNNNNNNNNNNNNNNNNNNNNNNNNNNNNNNNNAGGCCUGGAAGCCUCCGGCCGUGCCGGCUCCCCGUCCUCGCCACCCCUCUCGGGGAGAAGCCCAGGAGGGCAGGCUAAGGGCCGGGAGCGGAUGGAAAGCAGCAGGUCACGGCGAUGGUUGCACAACUCUGUGAACGUGCUGACCAACUGUGGGCCGAAACCCCACAUUAUGGUUCAGUUCUCAAGAUAAAAUGAACUCGUUUGAUGUCCUGAUAAUACAGGCCUCCCUCAGCUCCACCCCCGGCCAGGCCAGCAGCGGGCCCACUUCUCCCCUUCCCCCCACAGCAUCCUGUAAGCCCCACACUUGCUCUCCUGGGGCUCAAUCCCCAUCCAUGUUGGGGGGACCUGCUUACUCCCCUGGCUCUUGCCCCACCCGGGGUAGAGUUGGGGUAAGCAGCCCCGGGGAGGGGCGAGCAUGCCCGCCCGGUUGGUUGGCCGUGUCCCCAGUUCCCGCCCAGACCCCAGGCUGGGCCGGGGCGUCUGCGGAGCGUAGCCACCUGCUCAGGCGCUGUGUCCUUCUCCCGCAGGGUCUUCACUGAGCAGCGAGUCGUCCCCUGUCUCCUCUCCGGCCACCAACCACAGCUCCCCGGCCA
ensembl:lncRNA